rnacentral:rRNA from 1 species
GGCGUUUUUUGGAUGAUUCAUAAUAAAUGAACGGAGCACAUGGCUUGUGCCGGUGCUGUAUCAUUCAAGUUUCUGACCUAUCACCUUUCGACGGNGGGGUAUUGGCCCACCGUGGGUUUGACGGGUAACGGAUAAUUAGGGUUCNAUUCCNGAGAGGGAGCCCGAGAAACGGCUACCACAUCUAAGGAAGGCAGCAGGAGCGCAAAUUACCCNAUCCUGACNCAGGGAGGUAGUGACAA